UAAAUGACAAUAAAAAUAAUAGAUUAUUAUUUACAUUGCAGUCGUUGGCGGAGCCCUGAACAAUACUGGUAACCUCGUUGGCGAUGCACUGGAAGGAGUUGGCCAAGUCGUUGGCGGAGCCCUGGACAAUACUGGUACCGGUAAGUACUUACACUAUAUAUUGUACAAAUCACAUUAUCCCAAGGCAGCAAGUCCACUGCUGGGUAAAAGCCUCUUCUCGGUCGAAGAAAGCAUGAACAUUGCUUAAUACGUUUAAUCACAUGAAUGAGAUUU